rnacentral:rRNA from 1 species
UACGUAGGGGGCAAGCGUUGUCCGGAAUCAUUGGGCGUAAAGCGCGCGUAGGCGGCCCGGUAAGUCCGCUCUGAAAGUCCAGGGCUCAACCCUGGAAAGCGGGUGGAUACUGCCGGGCUAGAAUCCGGAAGAGGCGAGUGGAAUUCCUGGUGUAGCGGUGGAAUGCGCAGAUAUCAGGAGGAACACCAAUUGCGAAGGCAGCUCGCUGGGACGUUACUGACGCUGAGACGCGAAAGCGUGGGGAGCAAACAGG